CUCUCUUUCCCUCCCUGGCCUAUAAAUACAGUACCACCCCCCCUUCGCAACUCACCACCCAAAUAAACAGUAGUAGUGAAAUUCUAGAGAUAAAUGGAUAUCUAGAUCUGUCUCAACAAUUAUAGUAGUACAUCCACAUAUAUAUGUACAGUCUCACACAUACUAAUACACACCUACCAGUGGAUCAGAAAAGAGGAGAGUGUGACUGAUCUGAUGAUCAGUUCUGUGAUUUUAUCUUCAUCCCUUUGUUGCUGUUUCAUGAUGGUCAGUUGUGGGGGUGGAAGGAGAGAGGUGGAGGCUGACAGAAGAGAGUGAGCACACAUGGUGCCUUUCUUGCAUGAUGAAUGGCAGAGUCCAUGCUUGAAGCUAUGUGUGCUCACUUCUCUCUCUGUCGGCCACUAGAAUCCUUCUCCCUCCCCCCUCUCCCUCCUCUCUCUGGCUGCGUGUGUAUUUGAGAAGUGACAUGCAUGGGAAACGAUUGCAAAGCAAGCAAUAUUGAUCAAACUUUCAUCAGAGAGGCUACAUACGAUCAAAAACAAGCUUUGCUUGCUCUCCCAAAAAUAGGUGUGCUUAGUGGUUGUGUUAUUUCUCUGUUAUAAUUUUCCAGGGUAAACUCCCAAUCAUAUGUGUAGUGGUUAAGGAACUCUCUCAAAAAAGAUGAUGUUUCAGGGUGUUUUCUAGUGCCUGUAUUUCUCUGAAUCUGUCCAUAAGCUCUACUUAAAUCUGUCCACAAGCUUUCGUUGGAUCUGUCGAAGCUCAUGUAAAUUAAUAUGACCACCCACCGAUAUUAUUUCAUGUGAAGAAUUAUGAGGCCUGUUUGCAUGCAAA